rnacentral:rRNA from 1 species
GACGCUGGGUGGCGUGCUUAACACAUGCAAGUCGAACGAGAAAAAUUCCUUCGGGGAUUUAGUAAAGUGGCGCAAGGGUGAGUAACACGUGAAUAAUCUGCCCUCGAGAUCGGGAUAACAUGGUGAAAACUAUGCUAAUACCGGAUAAGACCACAUCUCAUAAGAGAUGCGGGAAAAGGAGUCUCAAUCUUCACUCGAGGAUGAGUUCGCGCAACAUUAGCUUGUUGGUGAGAUAAAAGCUCACCAAGGCUACGAUGUUUAGCCGGCCUGAGAGGGUGAUCGGCCACACUGGAACUGAGACACGGUCCAGACUCCUACGGGAGGCAGCAGUGGGGAAUAUUGCGCAAUGGGCGAAAGCCUGACGCAGCAACGCCGUGUGAGCGAUGAAGGCUUUAGGGUCGUAAAGCUCUGUCAAAUGGGAAGAAUUAUGACGGUACCAUUAGAGGAAGCCCCGGCUAACUCCGUGCCAGCAGCCGCGGUAAUACGGAGGGGGCAAGCGUUGUUCGGAAUUAUUGGGCGUAAAGCGUAUGUAGGCGGCUAGGUAAGUCAGGCGUGCAAGCCCGUGGCUCAACCACGGAAUUGCGUUUGAAACUGUUUAGCUUGAGUACAGGAGAGGAAAGCGGAAUUCCCAGUGUAGCGGUGAAAUGCAUUGAUAUUGGGAAGAACAUCUGUGGCGAAGGCGGCUUUCUGGUCUGUUACUGACGCUGAGAUACGAAAGCCAGGGGAGCAAAGGGGAUUAGAUACCCCCGUAGUCCUGGCUGUAAACGAUGGGCACUAGGUGCAGGAGGUAUCGAUCCCCUCUGUGCCGCAGCUAACGCGUUAAGUGCCCCGCCUGGGGAGUACGGUCGCAAGGCGACU